rnacentral:pre_miRNA from 1 species
AGUGGGGUUGCUGGGCCGUAUGUUAAGUGGAUGUUUAAGUUUGUGAGAAACCGCCACAUUAUUUUCCAAAGUUGCUGUACCAUUUUGCAUUCCCACUGGCAAC